CAGCACUAGUUUUCAGAAGAGGAGAAAAGAACAUUUAUCUUUCUCUUGUUGGAAGGAGAGAAUAUCCGAUUUGGGUAAAAGUAUCUGGAAACCUUAUCAGUCAAAUUUAUGUGUCAGAAAAAUAUUUCUACUGGAUUCUUAUGUAUUGGACAAGACGAGAAAGAUCUGAGCAUUGGAUUCUCCAUCCUUGGCGAGGGGACUCAAUUAGCUUUGUAAAGUGCUUCGUGAUCAAGAAGAGAAAUAAUACUUGUGUAUGUUUCUAUGCUGCCUACCAUUCGGUGAAACUAAACACUGUAGUGCACACUGGUCUUUAUAUUCAGAGCAAGCUUCAAAGCUCUGUAUUCUCAGCUACUCCUCUUUACACAUCUGUUUAUUUUCAUGCUUUCCUUUUUAUCGUUCAUUGCUUGCCUGUGUCACAACUGCAUUUGUAUUUCAUUAUUAUUAUUUGUACAUGAAU